GGGGGGGGGGGGGGGGGGGGCGAGGGGAGGGAAGGCGAGCGAACGGACGGGGAGCUUGCUCCUCUGACGUUAGCGGCGGACGGGGGAGUAACACGUGGAUAACCUACCUAUAAGACUGGGAUAACUUCGGGAAACCGGAGCUAAUACCGGAUAAUAUAUUGAACCGCAUGGUUCAAUAGUGAAAGACGGUUUUGCUGUCACUUAUAGAUGGAUCCGCGCCGCAUUAGCUAGUUGGUAAGGUAACGGCUUACCAAGGCGACGAUGCGUAGCCGACCUGAGAGGGUGAUCGGCCACACUGGAACUGAGACACGGUCCAGACUCCUACGGGAGGCAGCAGUAGGGAAUCUUCCGCAAUGGGCGAAAGCCUGACGGAGCAACGCCGCGUGAGUGAUGAAGGUCUUCGGAUCGUAAAACUCUGUUAUUAGGGAAGAACAAAUGUGUAAGUAACUAUGCACGUCUUGACGGUACCUAAUCAGAAAGCCACGGCUAACUACGUG
rnacentral:rRNA from 1 species